UCCCUGGUGGUCCAGUGCUUAAGACUCUGCACUCCCAAUGCAGGGGCCUGGGUUUGAUUCCUGGUCAGAGAA
rnacentral:tRNA from 1 species